GACGAACGCUGGCGGCGUGCUUAACACAUGCAAGUCGAACGAUGAACCCGGAGCUUGCUCCGGUGGAUUAGUGGCGAACGGGUGAGUAACACGUGAGUAACCUGCCCUUGACUCUGGGAUAACUGCGGGAAACUGUAGCUAAUACCGGAUACGACCCUCGGCGGCAUCGCCAGGGGGUGGAAAGAAUUUCGGUGUGGGAUGGGCCCGCGGCCUAUCAGCUUGUUGGUGGGGUGAUGGCCUACCAAGGCGACGACGGGUAGCCGGCCUGAGAGGGUGACCGGCCACACUGGGACUGAGAUACGGCCCAGACUCCUACGGGAGGCAGCAGUGGGGAAUAUUGCACAAUGGGCGCAAGCCUGAUGCAGCGACGCCGCGUGAGGGAUGACGGCCUUCGGGUUGUAAACCUCUUUCAGCACCGACGAAGCGCAAGUGACGGUAGGUGCAGAAGAAGGACCGGCCAACUACGUGCCAGCAGCCGCCGUAA
rnacentral:rRNA from 1 species